CAGAGCUCUGAGCUUGCUGGGAAUCACCCUGAGAAGCUUUCCAUGAGCUUCCAUAAAAGGCCAUCUUAACCUAGAAUUCUUCAAACUUCACCCAACACACUGACCCUCUGUCUUAUUCCAGGAAGCAGUCUAGACAGUGGGGAUUCCGCUGGAGAGGGGGGAAACACCACAUUCUUGGAGGCUUAACUUUUACGAAAACUUCAAAGCUGCAGAAAGUCAAACUUGACCUGGUCCAAUGGGAAAAGUGCUUCCAUAUUUUUCCUCUAUUCACCACAAACAUGAUAUGUGCUGGGAGUUCUGAAGAUGGGAAAGACGCCUGCCAGGGUGACAGUGGGGGACCUCUGGUUUGCCGCAAGAAGAAGAAGAAAAAGAAGAAGAAGAAGAAAAACACAUGGUACCAGCUGGGCAUUGUCAGCUGGGGCAAGGGCUGUGCCAAAAAGGAUCUGCCUGGGGUGUACACAAAAGUGUCAAAUUAUCUGCCAUGGAUUAAUGGCGAGACAACACAAGCAGGGAUGCCUUACAGUCAUGAGCCAGACUCUGGGCAGCGAUGGCUUCUCUCACCUCUGGUCAUCUUGUUCCUGUACUUUCUCACACUUCUAUUAUUCUGGUGAUUAAAAACAGUAUAAUCUCAAAACUCAAGUGUCCUUGGUUU